rnacentral:rRNA from 1 species
GAGCUUGCUCUGUGGGAUCAGUGGCGAACGGGUGAGUAACACGUGAGCAACCUGCCCCUGACUCUGGGAUAAGCGCUGGAAACGGCGUCUAAUACUGGAUACGAGUAGCGACCGCAUGGUCAGUUACUGGAAAGAUUUAUUGGUUGGGGAUGGGCUCGCGGCCUAUCAGCUUGUUGGUGAGGUAAUGGCUCACCAAGGCGUCGACGGGUAGCCGGCCUGAGAGGGUGACCGGCCACACUGGGACUGAGACACGGCCCAGACUCCUACGGGAGGCAGCAGUGGGGAAUAUUGCACAAUGGGCGCAAGCCUGAUGCAGCAACGCCGCGUGAGGGAUGACGGCCUUCGGGUUGUAAACCUCUUUUAGCAGGGAAGAAGCGAAAGUGACGGUACCUGCAGAAAAAGCGCCGGCUAACUACGUGCCAGCAGCCGCGGUAAUACGUAGGGCGCAAGCGUUAUCCGGAAUUAUUGGGCGUAAAGAGCUCGUAGGCGGUUUGUCGCGUCUGCUGUGAAAUCCGGAGGCUCAACCUCCGGCCUGCAGUGGGUACGGGCAGACUAGAGUGCGGUAGGGGAGAUUGGAAUUCCUGGUGUAGCGGUGGAAUGCGCAGAUAUCAGGAGGAACACCGAUGGCGAAGGCAGAUCUCUGGGCCGUAACUGACGCUGAGGAGCGAAAGGGUGGGGAGCAAACAGGCUUAGAUACCCUGGUAGUCCACCCCGUAAACGUUGGGAACUAGUUGUGGGGUCCAUUCCACGGAUUCCGUGACGCAGCUAACGCAUUAAGUUCCCCGCCUGGGGAGUACGGC